AUUGAACGCUGGCGGCAGGCCUAACACAUGCAAGUCGAACGAGUGGCGGACGGGGGGGGAAUGUCUGGGAAACUGCCGGGUGGGGGGGGAUAACUACUGGAAACGGUGGCUAAUACCGCAUACAGUCAGAUGUGCCCAGAGGGGAGUAGCUUGUUGGUGGGGUAACGGCUCACCAAGGCGACGAUCCCUAGCUGGUCGGAGAGUAUGACCAGCCACACUGGAACGGAGACACGGUCCAGACUCCGACGGGAGGCAGCAGUGGGGAAUAUUGCACAAUGGGCGCAAGCCUGAUGCAGCCAUGCCGCGUGUAUGAAGAAGGCCUUCGGGUUGUAAAGUACUUUCAGCGGGGAGGCGUUACCCGCAGAAGAAGCACCGGCUAACUCCGUGCCAGCAGCCGCGGUAAUUC
rnacentral:rRNA from 1 species